CCUGCCUCUAGAGGCAUUGCAGGAAUGACUACUGUGUCACAUGUGCAUCAGGAGGUGGCAGAGAGAAGAGAGGCCAUGUCUAUGCUCAGUGUUCUGACCUGUGACCAUCUGAAUGAUUAGUACCCUAACAUU